rnacentral:tRNA from 1 species
UCCUACUUAACUCAGUGGUUAGAGUAUUGCUUUCAUAGGGCACUAGUGAUUGGUUCGACUCCAAUCCAAUAGUAGGUA